rnacentral:sRNA from 1 species
ACCCCUGUGAACAUACCACUUGUUGCCUCGGCGGAUCAGCCCGCUCCCGGUAAAACGGGACGGCCCGCCAGAGGACCCCUAAACUCUGUUUCUAUAUGUAACUUCUGAGUAAAACCAUAAAUAAAUCAAAACUUUCAACAACGGAUCUCUUGGUUCUGGCAUCGAUGAAGAACGCAGCAAAAUGCGAUAAGUAAUGUGAAUUGCAGAAUUCAGUGAAUCAUCGAAUCUUUGAACGCACAUUGCGCCCGCCAGUAUUCUGGCGGGCAUGCCUGUUCGAGCGUCAUUUCAACCCUCAAGCACAGCUUGGUGUUGGGACUCGCGUUAAUUCGCGUUCCUCAAAUUGAUUGGCGGUCACGUCGAGCUUCCAUAGCGUAGUAGUAAAACCCUCGUUACUGGUAAUCGUCGCGGCCACGCCGUUAAACCCCAACUUCUGAAUGUUGACCUCGGAUCAGGUAGGAAUACCCGCUGAACUUAAGCAUAUC